AAACUAUUGAUGAUGUGGAUAGUCCCUAAGAAGUGCCUUGAACCUCUCCCAAGCAUGAUAGAGUUUCUCAUCUGGCCUCUAUUUGAAGCUCACUAUUUCAUUACGAAGUUU
rfam:Capsicum annuum cultivar Zunla-1 chromosome 7, whole genome shotgun sequence